rnacentral:rRNA from 1 species
AGAGUUUGAUCCUGGCUCAGAACGUACGCUGGCGGCACGCCUAACACAUGCAAGUCGAACGAAGUAGCAAUACUUAGUGGCAGACGGGUGAGUAACAUGUGGGUAUCUACCCUUUGGCCUGGAAUAACACGAGGAAACUUGUGCUAAUACCGGAUAAGUCUUUACGGAGAAAGCUUUAUGCACCAUUGGAUGAGCCCGCACUUGAUUAGUUUGUUGGUAGGGUAAUGGCCUACCAAGACUAUGAUCAAUAGCUGAUUUGAGAGGAUGAUCAGCCACAUUGGGACUGAGACACGGCCCAAACUCCUACGGGAGGCAGCAGUGGGGAAUCUUGCGCAAUGGGCGAAAGCCUGACGCAGCAACGCCGCGUGGGGGAUGAAGGCUCUCGGGUCGUAAACCCCUUUCAGCAGGGACGAAAAUGACGGUACCUGCAGAAGAAGCGCCGGCCAACUACGUGCCAGCAGCCGCGGUAAUACGUAGGGCGCAAGCGUUGUCCGGAUUUAUUGGGCGUAAAGAGCUCGUAGGCGGUUUGGUAAGUCGGGUGUGAAAACUCUGGGCUCAACCCAGAGAGGCCACUCGAUACUGCUAUGACUAGAGUACGGUAGGGGAGCGGGGAAUUCCUGGUGUAGCGGUGAAAUGCGCAGAUAUCAGGAGGAACACCAGCGGCGAAGGCGCCGCUCUGGGCCGUAACUGACGCUGAGGAGCGAAAGCAUGGGUAGCAAACAGGAUUAGAUACCCUGGUAGUCCAUGCCGUAAACGUUGGGCACUAGGU